rnacentral:rRNA from 3 species
UUGGAGGGCAAGUCUGGUGCCAGCAGCCGCGGUAAUUCCAGCUCCAAUAGCGUAUAUUAAAGUUGUUGCAGUUAAAAAGCUCGUAGUUGAACUUCGGGGUUUACCCAUUGGUCAGGCUUAAUUGUCUGUACUGGUGAGAUGAAUCUCUACCUUCUGAGGAACUUUCAUGCCAUUUAUUUGGUGUGAUGGGAAAUCAGGACUGUUACUUUGAAAAAAUUAGAGUGUUUAAAGCAGGCUAACGUCUGAAUACAUUAGCAUGGAAUAAUGAAAUAGGACGGACUGAUUCUAUUUCGUUGGUUUCUAGGAUCACCGUAAUGAUUAAUAGGGAUAGUUGGGGGCAUUAGUAUUCAAUUGUCAGAGGUGAAAUUCUUGGAUUUAUUGAAGACUAACUACUGCGAAAGCAUUUGCCAAGGAUGUUUUCAUUAAUCAAGAACGAAAGUUAGGGGAUCGAAGACGAUCAGAUACCGUCGUAGUCUUAACCAUAAACUAUGCCGACUAGGGAUCGGACGAAGUUAAUUUUAUAAUGACGCGUUCGGCGCCUUACGGGAAAC